AGUUUUGUUCAGUUUUCAAGGAAAUACGAAAAACACACGGAGAAUUGUUUUCAUCAAAGGAUGGCAUAUUUGUAAAUAAUUGACUACCAUCUCUCCCUCUUUGUAUUGUCUCUGUACUUUGGUGUAGUAGACCACUCCCAGUCUGCCUCUGCCAUGCCCUGCCCUGCUAGCCUCCUCGAUCUCGACCGCCACCCAAAUCAUCUUCGUCGAUCGUCACCGGUGCUUCAUGGGUCUUCAAUAGGUCUUGAACUUGAUGGGUUUGAUGGUGGAUCUUGAAGAGAUUCGGAAUAGCAACAAUAAAAUAAGGUUGAAUGGCGAUUUGGGGGUUCAAUCGAAUCGAUAAGACUAGUAAAGGAGAUUAUGAUGGUUUCUCCGGAUUUCACGGUGCUUCUAGGCUUCAACAGAACUUGACAAUGGGUGAGUCUAGUUCCGAUACCAGGGUUAUGGAUCAAGAGGAGCAUGCGUGACAUGGAUAGGUCCUUGGAGAGUUAUAGGACUAGAUGGUUCUAAAAUUUGAUUAUGUUAUUAGUAUUUUGUCGUACUUGUUUUCUCGGUUGAGACAUGUUGUGUAAUACCUCAAUUCGAUGGUUGGAUGGACGGUUGGGAGGGUGCUCCGUGUGAUCAGGACUCCCGGACUGGGUUGUGAACUUCGUGUCCCGAUGAUUUAUUUUGCAUACAGGAUUGCUCCUUACAUUGGUUGUUUGGUA